rnacentral:rRNA from 1 species
AAUGGGUCAGCGACUUAUAUUCUGUAGCAAGGUUAACCGAAUAGGGGAGCCGAAGGGAAACCGAGUCUUAACUGGGCGUUAAGUUGCAGGGUAUAGACCCGAAACCCGGUGAUCUAGCCAUGGGCAGGUUGAAGGUUGGGUAACACUAACUGGAGGACCGAACCGACUAAUGUUGAAAAAUUAGCGGAUGACUUGUGGCUGGGGGUGAAAGGCCAAUCAAACCGGGAGAUAGCUGGUUCUCCCCGAAAGCUAUUUAGGUAGCGCCUCGUGAAUUCAUCUCCGGGGGUAGAGCACUGUUUCGGCAAGGGGGUCAUCCCGACUUACCAACCCGAUGCAAACUGCGAAUACCGGAGAAUGUUAUCACGGGAGACACACGGCGGGUGCUAACGUCCGUCGUGAAGAGGGAAACAACCCAGACCGCCAGCUAAGGUCCCAAAGUCAUGGUUAAGUGGGAAACGAUGUGGGAAGGCCCAGACAGCCAGGAUGUUGGCUUAGAAGCAGCCAUCAUUUAAAGAAAGCGUAAUAGCUCACUGGUCGAGUCGGCCUGCGCGGAAGAU